rnacentral:rRNA from 1 species
GACGAACGCUGGCGGCGUGCCUAAUACAUGCCAGUCGAACGCACUCUCGUUUAGAUUGAAGGAGUUUGCUCCUGAUUGAUAAACAUUUGAGUGAGUGGCGGACGGGUGAGUAACACGUGGGUAACCUGCCCUAAAGUGGGGGAUAACAUUUGGAAACAGAUGCUAAUACCGCAUAAAACCUAACACCGCAUGGUGUAGGGUUGAAAGAUGGUUUCGGCUAUCACUUUAGGAUGGACCCGCGGUGCAUUAGUUAGUUGGUGAGGUAAAGGCUCACCAAGACCGUGAUGCAUAGCCGACCUGAGAGGGUAAUCGGCCACACUGGGACUGAGACACGGCCCAGACUCCUACGGGAGGCAGCAGUAGGGAAUCUUCCACAAUGGACGAAAGUCUGAUGGAGCAACGCCGCGUGAGUGAAGAAGGUUUUCGGAUCGUGAAACUCUGUUGUUGGAGAAGAAUGUAUCUGAUAGUAACUGAUCAGGUAGUGACGGUAUCCAACCAGAAAGCCACGGCUAACUACGUG